CCCCUAGAUGUUCUGGGCCGCACGCGCGCUACACUGAGCAGUUCAACAAGUCUUAACCUUGGCCGAUAGGUCUGGGUAAUCUUUGAACGCUGUUCGUGAUUGGGAUAGACCUUUGCAAUUAUGGGUCUUCAACGAGGAAUUCCUAGUAAACGCAAGUCAUCAGCUUGCAUUGAUUACGUCCCUGCCCUUUGUACACACCGCCCGUCGCACCUACCGAUUAAAUGGUCCGGUGAAAUCUCGGGACGGCGGCUUGGUCGCUUGCGUCCGACUGCUGAAACUUGAUUAAACCAUAUCAUUUAGAGGAAGGUGAAGUCGUAACA
rnacentral:rRNA from 1 species